rnacentral:lncRNA from 1 species
UUGGCUCUUCACCUCCACAAGCAAUGACUUUGCUAUAGAAAAAACCCAGCAUAUCACAUCCUAUAUUUCUAUCUAGAUAUAUAGCUUUGGCGAAAAAAAUUGUUUGAAGAGAUAAAAUCAUGCCAUUUUUUUAUAAGCAAUUCGAUCAGGCUAAUGAUUUUAGAGGAAGACGAGUAGUAACUCUUGCAUAAUGCCAUCGUUGUCCAUUACCUUAACCGAACAAAAACAAAACCGGCACAAGAAUAUUCAAAGUCCUAUAUAUGUGGUUCUAGUUGUAAUUCUAAAAACAACAAUAACAUUAUUUAUCUACUUAUUGAAGUAUUCCUAAAGUCCUAUGUACUGUAUGUAGUUCUAAUCCUAUAGGAAUUUGGAUUGGUGUGGGCGGUUGAUCUCUUCCAAAUCUUGUUGGAAAGGUGCUAAUUUAGCUUGCUGCUCGAACAAAUGUUUUAGACCCUUGU